GAGUCUCGAUUCGAUCAUUUCGAUGAUUCGACGACGUUUGGCCAUAUUGUCCGCCGGUUGCAGCCAGCUGGUGAAUGGUGUGGUGAGCCGUGAGCUGCUUUCAUGCAGUCUGUGAUGUUGUAUUAUCCUGGAAUGUGAAAUGAAAAGUGUUGGUUGUUGUAGACUUGUAACACUACUGUGCUUGUUUGUCAUUUGUUGUGACAUUCACAGAGAUAAAUACUUCAGAUCAAAAAACCUGGUGAAAUCUGAGCUUCUUCAUUGCAGUCCAAUGUGCACAUGAAUUUGGUGCAGCCAGCUGGUGAAGGUGUUCCUCUUGCAGGCUUGCUACCUGUACUGGUUAUAGCUUUCGCUCACAUGCAGAAAAACUUCAGAACAAACUAAAAUAAUUAAGUCCAAUGUGCACAUGAAUUUAUUGGUGCAGCCAGCUGGUGAAUGGUGUGUUGACCUUGUUGAUCUCCCUGGUCGAGUCAGUCGAGCAGUGUCUCCCCCUGCUUGACUGGCUGCGUCUUGGACCGGACGGUCUAUUUAAUAAAUUAAUUUAUAUAAAUUAGUUUCUUAAUUUUGUUGAUUAUAUGUGUUUAUAUAAUGAAUAAUAAAUUUUUAAAUGAUA